GAAACAGGUGCGGCGCAAAUGCGCAUGCUUAAUAGAGAAGCCGGAUGAGCCGGCGCGGUCCCGCCACUGUGAGGGGAGCAAACCUGCAUUGUGUCACUGGGAGGGAUAUCCUCAUGGGAAGGCGCAGGGGAGUGAUGAACCGAGUCAGGAGAACUGCCUGUUUGA
rnacentral:ncRNA from 1 species